UUAAAGAAUUUCGGUUAUCGAUGGGGAUGCGUUCCAUUAGUUUGUUGGCGGGGUAACGGCCCACCAAGACUACGAUGGAUAGGGGUUCUGAGAGGAAGGUCCCCCACAUUGGAACUGAGACACGGUCCAAACUCCUACGGGAGGCAGCAGUGAGGAAUAUUGGUCAAUGGACGAGAGUCUGAACCAGCCAAGUAGCGUGAAGGAUGACUGCCCUAUGGGUUGUAAACUUCUUUUAUAUGGGAAUAAAGUAUUCCACGUGUGGAAUUUUGUAUGUACCAUAUGAAUAAGGAUCGGCUAACUCCGUGCCAGCAGCCGCGGUAAUACGGAGGAUCCGAGCGUUAUCCGGAUUUAUUGGGUUUAAAGGGAGCGUAGGUGGAUUGUUAAGUCAGUUGUGAAAGUUUGCGGCUCAACCGUAAAAUUGCAGUUGAAACUGGCAGUCUUGAGUACAGUAGAGGUGGGCGGAAUUCGUGGUGUAGCGGUGAAAUGCUUAGAUAUCACGAAGAACUCCGAUUGCGAAGGCAGCUCACUAGACUGCAACUGACACUGAUGCUCGAAAGUGUGGGUAUCAAACAGGAUUAGAUACCCUGGUAGUCCACACAGUAAACGAUGAAUACUCGCUGUUUGCGAUAUACAGUAAGCGGCCAAGCGAAAGCAUUAAGUAUUCCACCUGGGGAGUACGCCGGU
rnacentral:rRNA from 1 species